AACGAACGCUGGCGGCAGGCUUAACACAUGCAAGUCGAGCGAGACCUUCGGGUCUAGCGGCGGACGGGUGAGUAACGCGUGGGAACGUGCCCUUCUCUACGGAAUAGCCCCGGGAAACUGGGAGUAAUACCGUAUACGCCCUUUGGGGGAAAGAUUUAUCGGAGAAGGAUCGGCCCGCGUUGGAUUAGGUAGUUGGUGGGGUAAUGGCCCACCAAGCCGACGAUCCAUAGCUGGUUUGAGAGGAUGAUCAGCCACACUGGGACUGAGACACGGCCCAGACUCCUACGGGAGGCAGCAGUGGGGAAUCUUAGACAAUGGGGGCAACCCUGAGCUAGCCAUGCCGCGUGAGUGAUGAAGGCCUUAGGGUUGUAAAGCUCUUUCAGCUGGGAAGAUAAUGACGGUACCAGCAGAAGAAGCCCCGGCUAACUCCGUG
rnacentral:rRNA from 1 species